rnacentral:rRNA from 1 species
CCUACGGGUGGCAGCAGUGAGGAAUAUUGGUCAAUGGACGAGAGUCUGAACCAGCCAAGUAGCGUGAAGGAUGACUGCCCUAUGGGUUGUAAACUUCUUUUAUAUGGGAAUAAAAUGUUCCACGUGUGGGAUUUUGUAUGUACUAUAUGAAUAAGGAUCGGCUAACUCCGUGCCAGCAGCAGCGGUAAUACGGAGGAUCCGAGCGUUAUCCGGAUUUAUUGGGUUUAAAGGGAGCGUAGGUGGAUUGUUAAGUCAGUUGUGAAAGUUUGCGGCUCAACCGUAAAAUUGCAGUUGAAACUGGCAGUCUUGAGUACAGUAGAGGUGGGCGGAAUUCGUGGUGUAGCGGUGAAAUGCUUAGAUAUCACGAAGAACUCCGAUUGCGAAGGCAGUUCACUGGACUGCAACUGACACUGAGGCUCGAAAGUGUGGGUAUCAAACAGGAUUAGAUACCCGGGUAGUC